CCAGACUCCUACGGGAGGCAGCAGUGAGGAAUAUUGGUCAAUGGGCGAGAGCCUGAACCAGCCAAGUCGCGUGAAGGAUGACUGUCUUAUGGAUUGUAAACUUCUUUUGUAGGGGAAUAAAGAACAGCACGUGUGUUGUAGUGAAUGUACCCUACGAAUAAGCAUCGGCUAACUCCGUGCCAGCAGCCGCGGUAAUACGGAGGAUGCGAGCGUUAUCCGGAUUUAUUGGGUUUAAAGGGUGCGUAGGUGGCGUAUUAAGUCAGUGGUGAAAAGCUGCAGCUCAACUGUAGUCUUGCCGUUGAAACUGAUAUGCUAGAGAGGAGACGAGGUAUGCGGAAUGUGUGGUGUAGCGGUGAAAUGCAUAGAUAUCACACAGAACGCCGAUUGCGAAGGCAGCGUACCAGGCUCCGUCUGACACUGAAGCACGAAAGCGUGGGGAUCAAACAGGAUUAGAUACCCCGGUAGUCCACGCAGUAAACGAUGAAUACUAGAUUUUUGCGAUAUAGUGUAAGAGUCUAAGCGAAAGCGAUAAGUAUUCCACCUGGGGAGUACGCCGGCAACGGUGAAACUCAAAGGAAUUGACGGGGGCCGCACAAG
rnacentral:rRNA from 1 species